UACGGGGGGGAGCAAGCGUUGUUCGGAUUUACUGGGCGUAAAGGGCGCGUAGGCGGCGUGACAAGUCACUUGUGAAAUCUCCGGGCUUAACUCGGAACGGUCAAGUGAUACUGUCGUGCUAGAGUACAGAAGGGGCAACUGGAAUUCUCGGUGUAGCGGUGAAAUGCGUAGAUAUCGGGAGGAACACCCGUAGCGAAGGCGGCACUCUGGGCCGGUACUGACGCUGAGGAGCGAAAGCGUGGGGGAGCAAACAGG
rnacentral:rRNA from 1 species